CACAGCCCGUCCCAAGAUUAGUAUUUUCUUAAGUGUGAACUUAGUUAAAUUACCCUAGUUUUAAAGUUAGAUGGACUUUGAGGUUUUGGAGGUUUGUGAUGAAUGAUUGAGGACUUAGACCCUACACACUCACGGAUCCAAGUCAUUUCCCAUUCUCCGUGAAUUGCUCUACCUUUCAAACCUGUCAAGCACUUUCUCUCUCUCAUCCGUGUACCACUCCCUCUCUCUCUAUUCCCUCGACAAGUUUCACUCACCCUCAUUCUCUCUCAAUACACGGACAACACUCGAAAACCUUCAAACCUUUACAGAUCGAGAUCAUGGAGAGUACGGUGGUGUUCCUGAGGUCCUUAUGAUUUUAACCACAUAGCUUUCAAGUCCUGGAACCUUCGAAAACCCGAGAAAAGCCGUAACCCGAUUUGAGUACACAAUCACUUCGACGUGAUCUUGGAAGUUUCAAGCCAGUUUAAGACUCCCAAAGGAUCAUAGGGAGCUUUAGAAUGUUCUCACGAUGCUCGGAGUGCAUCGUUGGUAAGAAAAGGAUCACGGGAAGCUCAGUUACGAAGUUUUACAGAGGUCGCCGGAGUUUCAAAGUUCCCCGACGUAAUUUCAUGCAAUUUGAAGUUUCAAACAGGCGGCGAUCGUCGUGACGCCUUGAUGUGUGGUGCUAGGGAGUUGUUGGACGAACUCCAGGU